CCUACGGGUGGCAGCAGUGAGGAAUAUUGGUCAAUGGGCGCGAGCCUGAACCAGCCAAGUAGCGUGAAGGAUGACUGCCCUACGGGUUGUAAACUUCUUUUAUAAAGGAAUAAAGUGAGGCACGUGUGCCCUUUUGUAUGUACUUUAUGAAUAAGGAUCGGCUAACUCCGUGCCAGCAGCCGCGGUAAUACGGAGGAUCCGAGCGUUAUCCGGGUUUAUUGGGUUUAAAGGGAGCGUAGAUGGGUUUUUAAGUCAGUUGUGAAAUUUUGCGGCUAAACCGUAAAAUUGCAAUUGAUACUGGCAGUCUUGAGUACAGUUGAGGUAGGCGGAAUUCGUGGUGUAGCGGUGAAAUGCUUAGAUAUCACGAAGAACUCCGAUUGCGAAGGCAGCUUACUAAUCUGUGACUGACAUUGAUGCUCGAAAGUGUGGGUAUCAAACAGGAUUAGAUACCCGAGUAGUC
rnacentral:rRNA from 1 species